UUUCAUGGUGGCCGUGCGCAGGGCGUCCUCGGACGCGCCGGGUUCCUAGUGCACCGGUCUACCAACCUGCGUACGGCCGCCACCCUA
rfam:Pseudomonas fuscovaginae strain IRRI 6609 Pf_IRRI_6609_contig_23.23, whole genome shotgun sequence.